AAUAUUGCACAAUGGGGGAAACCCUGAUGCAGCCAUGCCGCGUGUGUGAAGAAGGCCUUAGGGUUGUAAAGCACUUUCAAUGGGGAGGAAAAGGUUGUGUUUAAUACGCGCAACCCCUGACGUUACCCAUAGAAGAAGCACCGGCUAACUCCGUGCAAGCAGCCGCGGUAAUACGGAGGGGGCAAGCGUUGUUCGGAAUUACUGGGCGUAAAGGGCGCGUAGGCGGAACGUCAAGUUAGGGGUGAAAGGCCUGGGCUCAACCUAGGAACGGCCUCUAAAACUGACGAUCUAGAGUCCGGAAGAGGAUGGCGGAAUUCCCAGUGUAGAGGUGAAAUUCGUAGAUAUUGGGAAGAACACCGGUGGCGAAGGCGGCCAUCUGGUCCGGUACUGACGCUGAGGCGCGAAAGCGUGGGGAGCAAAC
rnacentral:rRNA from 1 species